AUGCUCCUGUCGCCACCAGCCCCAUGGCCGCGCGUCGAGCCCGUGCGCUUGAAUCGUCUCCCGCAGCGCAAAGGCCGGCUACUCUCGCUUCCGCGUAGCCGGCGGCUCGGCUUGUGCAUGGCUGAGAUGGCCAUGGUCGGGGGUGGGUCAUCCCGUGAGCCUGGGGUUUCUGCUGGGGAGGGGGAGGCGAUGCUGGGAGGCGACAAGUUGCCCGGUCCGAGGGCGGAGACGGCGGCGACCCGGUGGACGCCCGUCGAGGCGGCGCUGAAUCGGAUGAGUAAAUGGCUGGUUGCUGGUUCUUUUGCUUUUGCUGCUCUUUGUAAGCGUGAUUCUGAAAUUAUGUGGGCUUUGAUGGGUGCGUAUGCAAACUCUAUGCUUUCGUUGGUUCUUAAAAAACUGCUCAACCAUGAAAGGCCGGCACCAGCUUUGCGGUCUGAUCCUGGGAUGCCAUCAUCCCAUGCCCAAUCUAUUUUCUAUGCUGCAACACUUCUAGUUCUUUCAGUCUUCUAUUGGCUUGGGACAAAUUAUCUGGCAAUGAUUAUUGGGGCUACAACUAUAGCAUCGGCCGCCUAUCUAUCGUGGCUACGGAUAUCGCAGCGUCUCCACACACUGAACCAGGUUCUUGUGGGCGCUACUGUAGGAUCAGCCUUCAGCACUAUGUGGUUUGCGCUCUGGCAUUUGUUUGUGCGGGAAGCUCUUGCUUCCUCGUUGUGGGUCAAAAUUCCAGUCGGCCUUGGUUCAGAAGUGGUUUGUGUUGCCUUCGUCAUCUACAUCAUUCGGCAGUGGUUCAAGGAUGCGCAAUGA
rnacentral:rRNA from 1 species